rnacentral:rRNA from 1 species
CCUACGGGAGGCAGCAGUGAGGAAUAUUGGUCAAUGGCCGAGAGGCUGAACCAGCCAAGUCGCGUGAGGGAAGACGGCCCUACGGGUUGUAAACCUCUUUUGUCGGGGAGCAAAGAGAGUCACGUGUGACUCCUUGAGAGUACCCGACGAAAAAGCAUCGGGUAACUCCGUGCCAGCAGCCGCGGUAAGACGGAGGAUGCGAGCGUUAACCGGAUUUAUAGGGGUAAAAGGGUGCGCAGGCGGAGGUGCACGUCAGCGGUCAAAUUGCGGGGCUCAACCCCGUACUGCCGUUGAAACUGCAUCCCUUGAGUGCGCGAGAGGUAUGCGGAAUGCGUGGUGUAGCGGUGAAAUGCAUAGAUAUCACGCGGAACUCCGAUUGCGAAGGCAGCAUACCGGAGCGCAACUGACGCUCAUGCACGAAAGCGUGGGUAUCGAACAGGAUUAGAUACCCCUGUAGUC